rnacentral:tRNA from 1 species
GCUCCCUUCGUCUAGUGGCCUAGGAUACCGCCCUCUCACGGCGUAGACAGGGGUUCGAGUCCCCUAGGGAGCACCA